UUGGUGCUGUGGGCUGAACCCCUCUAGGUGCAGAGGUGGCUAAGGCACUCUGAGGGGAAGUUGGUCUUCUCUCUGUAGGCCCAGGGUGAUCCUGAUUGACCCCAAAUUCUCUUUGUAUCUUGAGUUUCUCUAACAAAUGGCACAGACAGCAAAGAAGGCCAUAGAGAGGGAGGUUUCUAAACUGCCCCCCCACCUCCAGCUUUCCUUGCCUUCUCUCAUCCUGGACCUUUGUCUGUAGAGCACAGCUGCUUCUGAAAUGGUGAGCUCCGGCUCAUCCUGUAAGGCCCAGCUGAGAAGGUCUCUGCAAACAGCCUGCCUUACUCUACCUCAGGCAGAGCCACUCUCUUUUUCUGUGUCAGGCUGCACAUACGUUUGCAGCCAUGUCUCACUGGCAUUAUCUGCUGUGACUCUUCCUUGCUGGACUAUGAGUCUUUCAAAGCAAGGGCUCCAUUUCUUUUUGUUCCUGAAGCCCUGGCAUAGAGUUGAAAGUCACUCAGUAUCUGCUGAAGGGGUGCGUGAGAUGAGCUCAAUUUAGCUCUGUACCGGAAACCACCUCACAUGCCCAGCUGCCCAGCUCAGGUUCCUGCCCUGCUAGUGGAAAUGACUUGGCAAGCAGGGGCCUGACCAAAGGGAUUCCUGAAUCCAGGUCCAGUGACUAGCUUGCAAAGUGGGAGUGGUGGUCUUCUGUGUCACUGCAAACUUCCUGGAGUGUUUCGUAACUUCCUGUUUCACUUCUUUAAGCAUAAACCUUCCUACCAAUGAGGCGCAUUGGGGGCAUGGGAGACUGGCGUUCUGCCUCAACACUCCUGCUGCCUUAGGCUUUGGUGGCACCAACCUGCUUAUCGUCUGUUGGACACAUGAGCUCCUAGAGACUCUUUCAAGGGAUCUGCAAGGCCUCUCCCUUUCCAGCAUGUGUCUCCAUGACACUGAAUUCUUUCAAACACUUUAACUAAAAGAGUGAAUCACAAGAGCUUGAAUUCAGAAGCGAAUAGAGUUUAGCUGUCUUUUGUUCAGCUAGAUAUUGUAAAUGUAUAUUGUAUAUGCCGCUUCUCUCUUUUUAUCCUUUUGAAAACAAAAUUCUUCAUUAAAAUAAUAAGUUAA
rnacentral:lncRNA from 1 species